rnacentral:antisense_RNA from 1 species
CUUCAGCGAGCCCAGCAGGACCGGCCCGCGCACGCCGCGGUCCUGCCCGUAGGUGGCGAUGAUCGCCUCGGCCUC